CAAUUUAACAUUAUUUUAUGUCAUAAACGAGAAUAAAGAAGAAAAAGAAAACAUCUUAUCUUCUCUUCUCUUCAAACGUGUGGCCGACCAUAUUUAAAGGAAACCAACUCCAUUUUUCUUCAUUUCUCCUCCAUUUCUACACACUUUUCUUUUCUUUUCUCAACCUUCUUCCAUCAUUUUCUUACCAAACUAUCUUAACAAAUCCUUUAUUGAGUCAUAACCUUCAUCAACUCCAUCAUCCAAGUAUUUAGGGUUUGAAUCCUAGUGAGUAAAAGUGUAUUAGAAGGAAGAAGAAAGGUUCGAUGCAUAUCAAGGAUCACAAACAAAUAUCAUUGUCAUCAUUGAAGCGUAUGAAACAUUUGUAUUUGCAAUUGGUACUUAGUGACAUGUAAUAGGGAAUUGUUAGAAAUUUGAGUGGAGACGAUAGAACCGGAGACUUGUAUGGGAAUAAACAGUAAUAGGGAAUUGUUAGAAAUUUGAGUGGAGACGAUAGAACCGGAGACUUGUAUGGGAAUAAACAGUAAACUUCAAGGCACAAAUGACGCUUUUCAAAGAGAACUAUUUGCCCUCACACAAAGUUGCUAGUUAAGACAAAAGUCUUCCCGGUAUACAACGAAGUUUUGAAUUUCCUUUGAUUAGCAAAAUCGAAGAAUUCCCUAAUUUUUACUCUAUCUUCUGAAAAUAAAAUUGCUUGUAAUUGUAUAUUUUGUGAGCACCAUAAUGCCUCUAUUUAUAUGCACUCAAUGAAUACAAUUUGAAGAGCUAUAACCCUUCAUAUUGGACAUACUCCUUGGGAGAAACAUGUUCUAUGAAAAUGUAUUCAUUGGAUGAUAAAUCAUCACUUUUAAUUUGAAUAAUGCUUAUGAAUAAUUAAA